rnacentral:rRNA from 1 species
GACGAACGCUGGCGGCGUGCCUAAUACAUGCAAGUAGGACGCAGUUGCGUACGGGAGAGUAACGCGUAGGUCACUACCUAUUAGAGGGGGAUAACUAUUGGAACCGAUAGCUCAUACCGCAUACUAGUAGAUGGACCUGCGUUGUAUUAUCUAGUAGGUAGGGUAAUGGCCUACCUAGGCAACGAUACAUAGCCGACCUGGAGAGGGGAUAGGCCAAACUGGGAAUGGAGCAAGGCUCAGAAGCCUACGGGAAGGAGGAGGAGGGAAUCAUCGGCAAUGGGGGGAACCCUGAACGAGCAACGCCGGGGUAGUGAAGAAGGUUUUCGGAGCUUAAAGCUCUGUUGUUAAGGAAGCGUUACUUACCCAGAAAGGGACGGCUAACUACGUGCCAGCAGCCGCGGUAAUUC